rnacentral:rRNA from 1 species
UGGGGAAUAUUGCACAAUGGGGGAAACCCUGAUGCAGCAACGCCGCGUGAGUGAAGAAGUAUUUCGGUAUGUAAAGCUCUAUCAGCAGGGAAGAUAAUGACGGUACCUGACUAAGAAGCUCCGGCUAAAUACGUGCCAGCAGCCGCGGUAAUACGUAUGGAGCAAGCGUUAUCCGGAUUUACUGGGUGUAAAGGGUGCGUAGGCGGCAAGGCAAGUCAGAUGUGAAAGACCGGGGCUCAACUCCGGGGCUGCAUUUGAAACUGUUUUGCUGGAGUCCAGGAGAGGCAGGCGGAAUUCCUAGUGUAGCGGUGAAAUGCGUAGAUAUUAGGAGGAACACCAGUGGCGAAGGCGGCCUGCUGGACUGGUACUGACGCUGAGGCACGAAAGCGUGGGGAGCAAACAGGAUUAGAUACCC